AACGGACGCUGGCGGCAUGCCUAACACAUGCAAGUCGAACGAGACCUUCGGGUCUAGUGGCGCACGGGUGCGUAACGCGUGGGAAUCUGCCCUUGGGUUCGGAAUAACAGUUGGAAACGACUGCUAAUACCGGAUGAUGACGUAAGUCCAAAGAUUUAUCGCCCAGGGAUGAGCCCGCGUAGGAUUAGCUAGUUGGUGGGGUAAAGGCCUACCAAGGCGACGAUCCUUAGCUGGUCUGAGAGGAUGAUCAGCCACACUGGGACUGAGACACGGCCCAGACUCCUACGGGAGGCAGCAGUGGGGAAUAUUGGACAAUGGGCGAAAGCCUGAUCCAGCAAUGCCGCGUGAGUGAUGAAGGCCUUAGGGUUGUAAAGCUCUUUUACCCGGGAUGAUAAUGACAGUACCGGGAGAAUAAGCCCCGGCUAACUCCGUG
rnacentral:rRNA from 1 species